CUGCACAGUUCCCUGGCCCAUCUUGGAGGAGCAAGAAUUCUUGGGGACCAGCCCUCUGCCAACUGCUGAUUUUACAUGGGUCUGUGCUCUACACAUCCACACCUCUUGCUCAGCAAGCCUCCACUUCCAGGUUGGCCUCCCACUUGUUAAACAGCUGAAGAUGGUCUUGAAAUCCUGAUCCUUUUGCCUUCAUCUCUUGAGUGCUGGGAAUCACAGCCGUGUGCUCUCACAACUGGAGUAUGUUUCUGUGAAUGGUACCCAGAUCUUCAUGCAUGCUAGCUGAAGUCACCUUGGUUGUAUGCUGAGUUCACCGAGCUGGAUAAUGGGUGUGUAGGAAGAGCACCACGUGAAAAUUCAGAUACAGAGACAUCUGAGCAGCCCGAGAUGCUGAGCAAAGCUCAAAGAGCAAAGGAGAUCGACACAAAGCUCUUUACUUACUACAGCACUCUUACUACAGCACUCUUCCCCCACAACCACAGAGAAAAGAAACAAGCCAAAUGCUUCAGUCAGGGCUGUACAAGUCCAAGAUGGGAGAACAGUGGGAAACAGCAACCCCAGCCGGCAAGCUGAUGAACUCUGUGAAUCAGCCCUGUGACUCAGCAUCUAACUCAAGGCCAGUGAGGAGUGUUUAGGAUCAGGAAGUAGAUAGUCCUAUUCUGCUCUGCAUGGUCAUGUCACUCCUGGCACUGGCAGGCUCAGAGCUGGGUUUUGGGGUUUCGAGUGCAGCAAAGUCAGAAGGUCAAAGCCUGGGAGAGUCUGCAAAAGAUGACAAGCAUGAAGUUUCCAGCUCCAGGCCUCCGAGGGAAGCAGACUGAGGUGCCUGCACCAUCAGAUGUCCUUUGGGAGACAGAAGUAGGAUUUCUUUGUGUGGUUCUGAGGACAGAAUUGAGCUUAGGACCAGCCUUUAAGGAACCAAGGGGGCUUCAGCCAAGAUGCUCUAAGUAUCAAUAGCUUCCCUAAAGCACCACUAAUUGCUUGCAAGGUAGGUAGCCAGUUUUCAGGCUGGAGGCAUCCAAAUAGAAUUGGGGGAGCACCUGGAAGGGAUGCUGAGCAGGAAGAGGAUCUUAUGUGAGGGCCAAACCAGUUGUCUUCUGCAAUUUUCCUAGAAUACUGAAAAUCCAGGGCUGGGAAGAUGAAGUAGUUCAUAAAAUGCAAGAUGUGGACCUGAGUUAGCCUGCUGACACCUGUGUAAAAAGUGGCCCAUUCUCAUAUCCUUAGAGCUGGGUGGGGGGUAGAGGCAGGAGGAUCCUAUGGCUCAUUGGGCAGCUGCUGACUUAGCCUACCUGAAUAGUUUCAUGCCGGUGAGAAAGUGUGUCUAAAGCACCAUUGGGCAGCACCCUGAGAAGGGAUACCUAAGGUUGUCCUGUGAUCUCAUUUAUGCACACGUAUGGGUCUGCACACAUAUGCUUCUGCACACAUGAGUACAUCCAUAAACACACGGAGGCACACACAGAUCAAGUGGUGCAUUCAAGACUUGUGCCAGUUUUCUCGAAGUUGAAUUUCCAAAACAUAUGUACUUGGGAACUGGAGAAAAGCGGCCAGUUGCAAUCAUGGCCAGGGAAUCCUUAUCGUCCUCUCCCUGGAUCCCCUGCCUCAGCUGACAAAGGCAGAUCUUCCUGCCUGACCUCCAAAGAACAGCUCUUACAGGCAUAGCUAUUGUAGUCUGUGCCUGCUUCACCCAACAGGGAGGGAGCUGCAGAGCAAAAAAGAUACAAGGACACCAGCAUCGGCAGAAAAGGCAGCUGUUACUGAUAACUCAUUUUUUUUUUAAAGGAAAACAAAGAGAAGUUUCUGGGGGAGGAAAAUUCCCCCAAGUUUCUGUUGACUCUUUUGUUUGGUUAGUUAUCUUCUCAAACUUGGCAUUGAAUCAGGUUAGGCUAAAGGAAGCCUUAGAGGGGACGCAUUUCAGAUUCAUCCUUCCCAGACGGAAGAAACUAAAGCCCGAGGGCAAUGUGCUUCAUCCAAAGGCACUGGGUGCCUCGAGGCACAACUGGGACUAUAGCCAGCCCUAGCCCUCACUUCUGCCCAAGCCUAGACACUUCUGUAGGCUGCCUUUUGGGAGAGGUCCAGAUCACCAUAGCCUCUGGCCUUGGGCAAAAGGAAAUCUAGCCUCCUCGUUGUUCUUUUAUAGACAUGAAAGGGACACUCAGACCCUGACCACACAUCUCUCCUUCAAGCCCUUUCUCUUUUACGUGGUUUUCAAGGCUGGCCACCCAAACUGCCUUACCUGCACUGGUCCUCACUAGCUUGAGAGGAGUACCAGGCUCUUGCCCUGUCUCUUGACACACAAAUGUUCCAGGGUCCAGAGUGGGAAGCUUGGCUUCUCCUCCAAGAAGCAGCAACAGACUGUUCCUCCUUUCCAGUGAUCCCUGUAACAGAUGUUCUUGUUCUCAACAGCAAACAGCUGGGCAGCUUCUCAGCCCCUCUGGACACAGACCCAGCUACUUAAUCUGCAGGGCCCAGUGGAGAAUGUCCACAAAAGGCUCCUUGUUCAGAAACCAGUGUGACUGACAAGCCCAAGACAAA